rnacentral:rRNA from 1 species
UACGUAGGGUGCAAGCGUUGUCCGGAAUUAUUGGGCGUAAAGAGCUCGUAGGCGGUUUGUCGCGUCGAAUGUGAAAACCCGGGGGCUCAACCCCGGGCCUGCAUUCGAUACGGGCAGACUAGAGUUCGGUAGGGGAGUCUGGAAUUCCUGGUGUAGGCGGUGAAAUGCGCAGAUAUCAGGAGGAACACCGGUGGCGAAGGCGGGACUCUGGGCCGAUACUGACGUGAGGA